rnacentral:rRNA from 1 species
GUCUACGGCCGUGCUACCCUGAACACGCCUGAUCCCGUGUAGGAAGCUAAGCAGGGUCAGGCCUGGUUAGUAUUUGGAUGGAAGACCACCUGGGAAGACCAGGUGCUAUAGGCG